AAUAGUUUCUACCCCUUCAUGGGUGGGGUGGCAGGCACGUGCGGACGGAGGGGAUGGCCGGUGGCCGUCUUGGAGACUGUCUACCACUGGACUCCUUCCUCAUUCUCCUACAGCCACCGAAGCAUUUAACAGCCAGUGCAGACGCCCCAGCUUUCUCUUUCCCUGUAGUGGACGCCUGGAACCACAUAUUCUGGAUGGAGUGACCACAGGAUGCAAGCCGACUGGUCCUAAAUCUCCACUUGGAAGGGGACUACCCAGCAGAGGCCCCGAGGCCCACGGCUCACUUUGCAUGAGUGAGAAAUAAACUUUGAUGUAUUCAUCCCCUGGGACUUGAGGCUUUAUUUUCUACUGUUGCAUAAUCUAGCCUACCCAGGUUGUAGGUAUAACUAUCCCUGUACUACAUAUGAGAAAACUGAGGCCUGUUGGUUCCGUGACUAGUCAGAGACUGAGUUGAAGCUGGAGCCUGUAUCUGACUCCAGAGAGCCUUUAACCACCGCAUUGGCUGCUGUCACCCUGGAAAGAGGAGAUGGUGUGGGAAGACAGUCCUGUGGGCCUGGAUUCUGGGUCACUUGCAACAGCAUUGCCUGUGGUGAGGACAGUGAGCUCACAGCAUGAAGAGAGAGACCCACAGGGAAGCGCCUAACACAGUGCCUGGUGAGCAGGAGGUGCUCAGCUCAGCAAAGAACAGCAAUCACUUCAGACUUUCUUCUGUACCUGCAAUUCAUCCGGAUUUAAAAAAUUAGAUUUGAGAAGAGGAUUUUUACCUAUCAAUACACACAAAAUUGAAAUCUGUGUUCCUGAAAACCUUUACAAUAGAAAGAUCACUGGAUCACUGGUAUAGUCAAGCACUUGGGAGAAGUGUAUUUCAGUUAAGAAAUUAUCAACAGUAGGAAAAAAUUGCCACAAGCUUUCCCCUCAAUAGCAUGUUUCACUGCACAAAAAAAAUUUGUGUUUUCCCUUCUGGUACUUCAGUAGGGAUAUCAAAAUGCCAUGGCAUCUCUCUUCCUUUAAUCCACCCACCACACACACACAAUUUGAUAAGGAAAAAAAGCAAAAACCAACCCAAUGUUCAUGCUUAAAAGACAGCCAUGAUAUUUAAUGUGGUGCUGGGACACUAGGCUACAUGGACCAACAGACCUAAAUUUAUUCCAACCCUGGAUUUUGUUAAUGUCCAAUAAUAUAUGAAUUGGAAUGAGAAUUCCUCUCUCUGAAGAUGAAGAAAAAAGGUCUUCCAGUGUAGUUAUUUUAGAAGGAGGCUCUUCUAUUUACAUGUAAGAACCAAGACUUAUAAAUAACCGAGCAUAUUUAAAUAAAUUGAUGAAAAUACCUUUUAAAACAUAAUGCUGGUCUCUCCCUCUUCCAUUCUUAAACAUAUCAGUCUUCACUUUCUACUUAAAUUAGUUGUAAUAAGCAACCCUACAGACUAGCUAUUUGACAAUCAGUGGCCAAACUGAAAUGUAAACAAAGCCUAACUUGUUUAAACCAGAUACUAUUUGUUAAAUGUUACACAUUCUGUCUACUAGUCUCUGAUUCAGUAUUUUACUAUAUAGGGUAGCACCUAUUAUAAAACAAUGUGAGAAAUAAAAAAUGAAAUGUUGGGGGUCUGAAAUAUGAAAAAAAUUUCAGGAUGGAUUGCAUAAUCCAGAAAUCACUUGUUCUAUUUGCUACAUUCCUCGAACAUUCUAAACUUCAAAAUGACACAGGAAUUAAAAAAAAAAAAUCCAACACACAUUAAACACAUACUUAAGUAUCUAGAUGUGUAACAGUUCAGCAAACAAAAAGGUUUAACUCAAAGCCUUUGAACAUGUCACUUAAACAUUAAGAUUUUGAACCCAAUUACUCAGAUCAUUGACUAGCCCAUAAUGCAGUUUGUGUUAACCUGCUGUACAAAUUAACCACAUAAUAACAGUCAGAUCUUACUCCAACAGAAGCGACGAUAAAAAUCAUACAGCAAUACUCCUUUUUGUAAUUAGAUAAUCAGGAUAACAGCACUGGGAUAAAAUGAAGAGAAUUUCUUAUUUCAGCUUCUUGUUCAAUAAGCCUAUUCCUCAUUUUCAGAUAAUGAGGAUAAAGGUAUCACAACCAAAUAUGAGAAACUGCUUUCUCUUUAUUUAGAUGUUAGGAAGAAAAUUAACUUUGGUCACAUAUUACCUUAAAAAAAAAAAAAUCCAGUUUUACAUAUUCCUAAAUAGAUAGGACCAAAUGAUCAGAGAAAAAAUUUCUUCUGUAAAAACUGGCCAAUUUUAUCAAAAAUCUAACAUACAGUGUCAUUCAAAUUAUGUAAAGACUGCUUGGGAUCAUAACAUUCCAAAUAUAUGACAACUGCAACUCCAUCCUAACCGGUGUGAAAAGUAUUUGCUCUCAUGUUGCUUUGGUCCAAGAGUAGAGCUGAUUCAGUAAGAGUAAACUAAGUACCUAAUCUUUUGCCAGCAUUAAUUUAGAUUGUUACUGGCAGCAGAAAUAUCAAUGGUGAAUAGUUCUACUAUAAGAGACUAUGAUAAAAGAAUAUUUUUAUGAACACAUCACAGUACCAGAUAAACUUUUAUAAGAGAGAAACAUGAAGGAACAAAAAAAGAUAAACAGCUACCACACAAAAAAUACUGGUUCCCCCAUAACUGUAUUUGAAGGGGUAAAAAGGUAGUAUUAGAAGUUUGAUGAUGCUAACAUGAAAGGAAGUUGAGUAUUGUAUUUAUUUCUUAUUUUAUACAACUCUUACUGUUUACAAAAAUGGUUAUAGUCAUGCCCAUAAAAGUGUAACCCAUGGCAUUUGAAAGCAAACACUCUUUGUAAUUAUUUAAAAGGGCCUUUUUAAAAAUUAUAAUACAAAGGUCUGUGCUCUAUAAGCAGUCCUCCACUGUGCAU